rnacentral:lncRNA from 1 species
AGGAUUAUCUACUGGGACCUUAUCAGCCACAACAAGUUGUUCUCUGAUAUCUACCAGAUCCAGGAGACAGAGGAUGGACUAUGCCUGGAGGGAAGAGGUCAAGACGGUCAGUAGAGCAGAGGGUAACACUGAUACCCAUCAUUGGUGGAACUCCUUCCUGUACAGGUGGAGAGCGAAGGUUCCGGAAUCACAGAAGCCAAUGGGUUGAUGCUGUAGUGAACCACCACCACUUAGGAGAAAAUGGAGACACAAAAGUACAUCAUAGAUGACAUGAAAUAACUCAAAGGCAAACUUGAAGAAAAAAACCCAGCAAAAGCAAAGCCAUGAAAGCAGGACUCCAGGUAGCAUGGUGUUCUCCUGGACUACCAUGGAGAUGGUGUGACUCCAUUUAUGCUUUCUUUAAAGGGUGGUUUAGAGAUGGAAAAAUGUUAACAAAUUGGGCAAUUA